rnacentral:lncRNA from 1 species
CUAUAAAGCACAUAAGAAGAGAGAUAGAGUUCUAUAUUAGCACUAAAAACUUUUUACAAAAUAGGCCGAUAUAUUUUAAAAAUUAACUGAAAAUAUAUAAACUACCAAAGGACUAUAAAGUAAAUAUUGAAAAGUUGAAGAGGGCCAUGGCUCCUUUGGGUCUAUAUAUGGGCUGUCCCUGUGCGUAAGCCUUGGAGUCUUGGCCCACAAGCCAACAAUUCUUUUAAAAAAAAUUUCACUUUGGUCCCCUAAAUUUACAAUAUUUUAAUUUUUUUAAUAGCUUACUAGUGGAUUGUUCUAUAAUUUUAAAAAUGU